AUGCACUACAAAAUAUCAUAGUUUAGUAUAACUUUAUUGUUAAGUCAUAUUAUAUCUUUUUUUUAUUUUAAAAUGCAAAAACUUUUAAACAUCAUUAAUAUGUUUGUUUAUUAGUACAAACUCCGUAUUUUCUAUACAAGAUCGUGGGUUCAAAGCAUGACGAACAUGAUAGCUAAUUAGCUAUUUAUACUUCUUCUUUUGAACAUUGCCUUGUCCCAAACCUAACUCCUAACCUCCCGGUCUUGGUAGCCGUUAGUCCAUGAAAUGUCGUCAUCAUCUUCAUCUUCAUCAACAUCAAUAUUUUAUUUUAACGGAGAACAUCAACAACAUUUCGUUAAUGGAGGAAUUGAUUUUAUCAGUAGAUCACUGCCUCACUGCUGCUCUUUCUCAUUCAUAAAUUCUCCUCAUUGAUUCAAUGAAAUGCCGGUUCACUUUUAUCGCGCAAUUUUUGCGAUUAGGCAAGUACUUGGUUGCUGGUUGAUAGAUGACAAGCUUGUUUCCCUACAAGAGAAACACCAUUAAUGGAAAGAUCUGCUAUAUCUGCUUAACAAAAAGAAAAGGCUGGCUCUGACUACAAAGGUGCAAUGCAGCUACUAUUAUGAAAGGAAUGGGUGAGCUUAUUAUGCAGCAAGAUUACAUACAGCGGUUUCUACGAGUAUAGAUGCACGCUACCCUGGGUAAGGCUGAAAUCUUGUGAUCUUCAUCUGCAACUUUUUGCUGUAAAUUACCCUUUCCUAGAUUUCCUAUUUUGCUAGGAUAUGAGUGUCUGAAAUCUGAGACCUUGAUUUGACUAAAUAGUGAUUCAUAAAGCUUCUGUUUGGCAUCUUAACAAGCUAAGGUCUCUGAAGUAGUUAUAUAGAGAGUUGAGCAUCAUUGCUAUAGACAAAAAAGGAGUCACAACCCUUUUUUUGUGUGGGGACAGUAGUACUUUCGGUUUCAGAUGCCCACUUGAACCCUACCCCUCUCCUCUCCUUGCUUUCCUCUUUCACAAGAGGCAGGCUUAGUUCUAUUCGAAGACAAUUGCAAAAUUGUCACUUCAAAAAGGGAGAGAGAUAUGAUUUACAAAAAAGAAAAAAAAAAAAAAGCAAA